UGCAAGUCGAACGGCAGCACGGGAGCUUGCUCCUGGUGGCGAGUGGCGAACGGGUGAGUAAUGCAUCGGAACGUACCCAGGAGUGGGGGAUAACGUAGCGAAAGUUACGCUAAUACCGCAUAUUCUGUGAGCAGGAAAGCGGGGGAUCGCAAGACCUCGCGCUCUUGGAGCGGCCGAUGUCGGAUUAGCUAGUUGGUGAGGUAAAAGCUCACCAAGGCGACGAUCCGUAGCAGGUCUGAGAGGAUGAUCUGCCACACUGGGACUGAGACACGGCCCAGACUCCUACGGGAGGCAGCAGUGGGGAAUUUUGGACAAUGGGGGCAACCCUGAUCCAGCCAUGCCGCGUGAGUGAAGAAGGCCUUCGGGUUGUAAAGCUCUUUCGGCGGGGAAGAAAUGGCAACGGCUAAUAUCCGUUGUUGAUGACGGUACCCGCAUAAGAAGCACCGGCUAACUACGUGCCAGCAGCCGCGGUAAUACGUAGGGUGCGAGCGUUAAUCGGAAUUACUGGGCGUAAAGCGUGCGCAGGCGGUUUCGUAAGACAGACGUGAAAUCCCCGGGCUCAACCUGGGAACUGCGUUUGUGACUGCGAGGCUAGAGUACGGCAGAGGGGGGUAGAAUUCCACGUGUAGCAGUGAAAUGCGUAGAGAUGUGGAGGAAUACCGAUGGCGAAGGCAGCCCCCUGGGUUAGUACUGACGCUCAUGCACGAAAGCGUGG
rnacentral:rRNA from 1 species